GAUGAUUAUUGGAUGACACACCCUGGAAUCAAGCUUCCUCCUAUCUGGUUCCAGGUGUGUCACCCAAGAACCACA
rfam:Myotis lucifugus cont2.11250, whole genome shotgun sequence.